GCCACAUUACAAUGAAACACCAGUUCAUGUACGAUCACUGUAGUUAAGCAACCUUGACCCUGGUUAGUACUUAGAUAGGUGACUGUUUGGGAAUACUAACUGCU